ensembl:lncRNA
GCAUGAUUAGUGUAGUAUAAUGCAUGAUUAGCGUAGUAUAAUGCAUGUACAUAUAAUGUACAUAUAUAAUGCUAGAAUGGCAUUUCUCUGUGGCAUUUCUCCAGAGUGAGGGGGCAUUAGUGGCCGUCUGUGCUCCGGAGUAAGGGGGCAUUAGUGGCCGUCUGUGCUCCAGAGUGAGGGGGCAUUAGUGGCUCCUGAGUGGGGGGGCAUUAGUGGCUGUCUGUGCUCCAGAGUGGGGGGGCAUUAGUGGCUGUCUGUGCUCCAGAGUGAGGGGGCAUUAGUGGCUGUCUGUGCCUCUACAGCCCUGUUGAAGUAGCAACAUGGGCUGAGUUUAGGGCCGACCUGCUGGGGACAUAAGAGUGGACUGAGCUGUGAGCUGUCUGCUGGGGGACAUGAGAGUGGACUGAGCUGUGUGCUGGGGGACAUGAGAGUGGACUGUGCUGUGUGCUGUCUGCUGGGGGACAUGAGAGUGGACUGAGCUGUGUGCUGUCUGCUAGGGGACAUGAGAGUGGACUGAGCUGUGUGCUGUCUGCUGGGGGACAUGAGAGUGGACUGAGCUGUGUGCUGGGGGACAUGAGAGUGGACUGAGCUGUGUGCUGUCUGCUGGGGGACAUGAGAGUGGACUGUGCUGUGUGCUGUCUGCUGGGGGACAUGAGAGUGGACUGUGCUGUGUGCUGUGUGCUGGGGGACAUGAGAGUGAACUGAGCUGUGUGCUGUCUGCUGGGGGACAUGAGAGUGGACUGUGCUGUGUGCUGUCUGCUGGGGGACAUGAGAGUGGACUGUGCUGUGUGCUGUGUGCUGGGGGACAUGAGAGUGGACUGUGCUGUGUGCUGUCUGCUGGGGGACAUGAGAGUGGACUGUGCUGUGUGCUGGGGGACAUGAGAGUGGACUGAGCUGUGUGCUGUGUGCUGGGGGACAUGAGAGUUAGGUCCAUUGACUUCUCCUGCCCAUCAGAACAGACUGAGCUCAUGAAGAGGCCUGUUGUGUUAGGCGUAGCAGCGCGAGCGCAUUCCCGGGGCGGUGACAUCAUUUCUUUUGGGGAAUAUGGCCAGGCUGCCCCGCCCCCUUACAGCCACUGUCACUCUCACCAGAGUCAUCCGCACACCAUCAGCUCAGUUUUGGGCUCUGUGUGUGUUCUGUGCUCUGUGCUCUGUGCUCUGUGCUCUGUGCUCUGUGCUCUGUGCUCUGUGCUCUGUGCUCUGUGCUCUGUGCUCUGUGUUUGUGUUUGUGUUUUGUGUUUUGUGUUUUGUGUUUUGUGUUUUGUGUUUUGUGUUCUGUGUGUGUUGUGUGUUCUGUGUGUGUGAUUGAGAAGCCAUGCAAUUUGGCAAGACAUGCCAUCAUGUUUUGCCUUCUGUUUUCCCUGCUGUGAUUGUGUGUGUGUGUGUGUGUGUGUGUG